AAUUUCUUUAAAACAUUCUUAAUGGGCUGCUAGUUUUUUUUUAAAUCCUCAAAAUUUAAUUAAGGAAGAAAACUCUUUCACUGAUUAUGAAGUAAACAUGAAAAAGUAUUCUUUGUAGGUAUUAAUGUCUUUUGCAGCUCCCAGACACCAUUAAUAAACACUCUUGUAAUGGAGGUUAAAAGUGAGAGUUCAUACCUAAAUAACCUACCAUGUAAUUAUGCCAGAUUAUAUCUAUUGUGAUUAUGUCCCGCAAUGAAUAUUCAAAUAAUCAAAAUUUAAAGUUAAAAAAUUCAUAAUUUGGAAACUUGUCUAAGGACCUUUUAAAGGGAAAGCAAGGAAAAAAUUAAAAUGUAAAAUUAACAUCACCAAAAAUAUAAAAAUGUCUGGUACAGAAAUUAUGGCUUUGUUUAGCAUUUUGCAAAUAUUUACUAACUUCUUGUAAGGAUUAUUAUUUUAGACAAGAUUGGAAACUUACUUAAAAUGGUAAAACUUAAGUUAAAAGUGAAUUAUUUUAGAAUUUGAUAGGAUAUAAGAUGUGCCCCUUUGUCUACAUAAAUGUUGAUUUAAUUUUCAGGCUAGGUUGAAACAAUUGGUUAUUUUGUGUAGUCAAGAGUGCAUUAUAUUCUUUCAAUAGUAAUACAUCAAAUUACAACCAUAUCAUUUCAUUAAUCUUGUCCCUUUUAGUAUCUUGAAUAGAUUUUUAUUGUGAUUGUCCUGGUGAAACAGUGUGUGGACAAUAUUGUGUAAAGAGUGGUUUUUUUGCAUUUGUGCAUUUUAAAUUAUUUAUGUAACUAGGGCUCUGAGUAACACGUUUUGUUUUGUUUUGUUUUGUUUUGCUUAAAGAAAAGCUAUAUUUAAAUAUUCAAAUAAUUAUAUAUUUCCAUGUAAAACUAAUGUGAAGACCGAUGUAUUUUUUAUAAUGCAAUUUAAAGUGUAAACUUGUUUUGAUGUUAUCAAGAUAAAUUUAUUAAAUAUUGAAAUUUGUGUGUACUCUCUCCUAAUGUUAGAACCUUUUUCUGGAAAUACUUAAAAAGAAUCAGAGAGUAAUUAAGGCUGAAGUAAUUCUGUAAAAGGCCUGAGAGAUGAUAAAUAAGAGAAUGCAAAUGUUGAUGCUGGCGAGAAAAUUGUUUAACCAAAGAUACAUAGGUUGUACUCACAUAAGUAAUUAUUUCAAAAGAUUAAACAACCACUAAUUUGCCUGGAGGAGUGAUGGGGCAGCUGUUUGACUAGCACGCCUGCACUGAAAGGAUUGAGUUCAGGAGGCAGGAUCCAUACCACCAUCUGACGCCCUCUGGGAAAUGACCAACCCCAAAGCCUUCCAUCUCUCUCCGUGUCUUCUGGUGCCAUAGCAUCUGACAGUGAUGACAGGAUGGCAUGGACAGGUGCCUGAGAGAAUAGUGACAUAAGUGCUUCUGACCCUAGAAUUACUGACUUGGAACAUUUGUUGGUCAGGGAUUUUCGAGUGAGAAUUAUCUUCCUAUUUACAAUGAGAAGUUACUACUUUUUAGUAAAGGACUUUUAUGUUUAGAAACAUGGAAUUAUAGAAUUAUACACCAAAAUGCCAACUCAAGUAAAUUCAAAGUGAGGAGACAUAGCUUUUUUUCAUCUCUUACUCAGAUGAACUCAAAUAUUGAGGGAAAAAUUAGUUAAAACAUUUCCCUUUCUUCUUAUACUUCAUGUGUGUAAAGUUCUAAGUGUUUUAAGCCAUGGGCUUAAUUUUUCAAAAUUAUUUGCUUUAAAUAAAGAUUGAAUUCAGGAUAAAGUAUAGUUUGUUGCUGGAUCUUUAUAUUAUUUCUAGGUUUAUUUAUUUUAAUGACUUUUAAACCUGGAAAUCAGUUUAUUUCCCAGAUUUAUUAUUCCCAAAUUUAGUAUAUGUACAUAUUGAGGUGAUCUUGAGUACAGCACAGUGUCCCAAACUUUAACUGUAUCAUGUCCCUUGAUCUUUGUAUUUGGGAGCCUUGUUGGAUACUAUAACGAUCACUGUGAAGUGAGAACAUUGAGGCAUAGAGUAGUUAACCCCCUUCCUACCCGUAGCAAUGGGCCAUCUUCUAGUCUCUAUCCCCUUAGAGUCAUCUUCUCUGUUUACUUCAUAUAAGCAGUACCUUUAUGUUUCUCUCUCUCUCUCUCUCCUUUGUUUCAUUUAUCAUGAUUAGGUGUUUUGUUGUUGGUUAGUUGGUUUUGAGAGUCUCCUAGUUAUAGCAUGCUGAGCAUUUUGGGUUUUAAAAUUACUUUUUAGCAGUUAGUUUUAAAUCUACUUAAUUUUUUUUAUAUAUUUAUGCCUCUGAGAGUUGAAUCCAGGGCCUUGUGCAUGUGAAUCAAGUGCUCUGCUGCAAUGUACCUCCAGCUCUCAGUCUUGAAUGACACCACUACCAGAACCUUUCUCUCCUGCCAACAGACGGGAAAGCCAGCAGGUGCGAGGCUAGCUUUGUUCCCUGCAUGGUUCUUAUUAUCUGAUUCCUCCUCAGAUCCAAGACUGGACAGCAGAGUUGCCUUUUAGAGUGUUCCUGUGGUUCACUUGAGUGUUGUAUGCUCUCGUGGCCUUUGACUCCUCUUUACCUACCCAUCAUGCCACUCUUCCCUGUGCUCAGUUCUCAUUUUCACCAUCAACACAUCACCUCAUGCUCUCAAUCCUUUCACGGUGGAGUGCUUGCAGGUAACUGAGAACAAGAACCAACAAAUUGCUGGGUUUUAAUCCAGUUGUGCCACAGAGCCAGGAAGUGUGUUGGCAGCCUCUUGGUUAAGUUGCUCUCCUGCAUAUUUAGAUACUUACUGUCAAAAUCAGGAAGUCAGCAUUGAUCUCACCUAUCUACUCUGCAGACCGUAGUCAAAUUUUGAAAAUUAUGUCAAAAUGCCCCUUGUAGGUCCUGGAUUUGAUCCACAGUUAUGGACUUCAUAGAUACUUUGUUGUUUCCUCAGUGUGGAGCAGUUUCUCGCCUGUCUGUACUUGGUAGCAUGGCAUUUUGAAGGUACUGGUUUAUUUGUGGAAUAUCCUUGAGUUUGAGCUUGUCUGAUGUUUCUUUGUAAUCUAUGCAUUUUUGGAAUUUGAAAUUUGUGUUCUCAGUGUGUAUUAACAGAAGCCAUGUGAUGUCAGUUUGAAUAAAUGUGGUGAU
rnacentral:lncRNA from 1 species